AGCGCGGGGCAACAUGGCGGCGAGCGGGAAGAAAAAGGGGAAAUGGGAACGUAUCCAUAAGUGGGGGACAACUUAGAGAAAGUUAGGCUAAUACCGCAUACGCUCGAGAGAGGAAAGUGGGGGAUCGCAAGACCUCACGCUUUAGGAGCGGCCGAUAUCCGAUUAGCUAGAUGGUGAGGUAAAGGCUUACCAUGGCGACGAUCGGUAGCUGGUCUGAGAGGAUGAUCAGCCACACUGGGACUGAGACACGGCCCAGACUCCUACGGGAGGCAGCAGUGGGGAAUUUUGGACAAUGGGGGCAACCCUGAUCCAGCCAUUCCGCGUGAGUGAAGAAGGCCUUCGGGUUGUAAAGCUCUUUUGUUCGGGACGAAACGGUUUCUCCUUUUUCUUUUGACUACUGACGGUACCGGAAGAAUAAGCACCGGCUAACUACAUGCCAUCAGCCGCGGGAAUACCUAGGGUGCGGAGCGUUAAUCGGAAUUUCUGGGGCGUAAAGCGUGCGCAGGCGGUUUUUUUAAGCCAUAUGCGAAAGCCCCGGGCUCAACCUCGGAAUGGCAUUUGGGGACUGGUAGGCUGGUAGUAUGGCAGAGGAGACAUAGAAUUCCUGGUGUAGCAGUGAUAAUGCGUAGAUAUCAGGAGGAAAUACCGAUGGCGAAAGGCAGGUCUCUGGGCCAUAUACUGGACGCUCAUCGCACGAAAGCCCUCGUGGGGAGCAAACAAGGUUUUUUUUUUUCUGGUGAAGUCCACGCCCUCCCAAACGAUGUCAACUGGUUGUUGGGGGAUUUAUUCUCUUAGUAACGAAGCUAACGCGUGAAGUUGACCGCCUGGGGAGUACGGUCGCAAGAUUAAAACUCAAAGGAAUUGACGGGGGCCCGCACAAGCGGUGGAUGAUGUGGGAUUAAUUCGAUGCAACGCGAAAAACCUUACCUACGCUUGACAUGUCCGAGAUCCCCGAGAGAUUGGGGGAGUGCUCGAAAGAGAAAUCGGAACACAGGUGCUGCAUGGCUGUCGUUCAGCUCGUGGUCGUGAGAUGUUGGGGUUAAGUCCCGCAACGAGCGCAACCCCUUGUCAUUAGUUGCUACAUUUAGUUGGGGCACUUC
rnacentral:rRNA from 1 species